AAGGGCUUUAAUGCCUCACACCUCUGAGGCGUCAUCUGCUAAAGGAAGGUAUCCACAUCUACUAGCGUUUCGUUUGGAGCCCUGGCUCAGCAGGUUGGCGGUCACCCCUUGAUCCUGGAAUCCCAGCAUGCCUUGCCAUCGGUGUUUGGGGUCGCAAGCCAGGCUUUGGUCCCUGGUGACAUAUGUGCUAGACAGGACCUUUUCUAAAGCACCGUCACUAAUUUAAAGACCUAAAUACCAUUAACUAACACUGGAGACCGUAUAACCAUAAUCUUUUUACGUUCUUAAGUGCUUCUGUUUUCGCAGUCUUAAAGGGCAAAGGCAACACAAGGCGAAUGUUAAUGUAUUACAUCAGUGGUCGUACUUUACUUCUUAUGACUGUCUAUUAAAUGCAUUUUAGUAAGCGCAUUUAUCAAAAUGUCACGAGUAACACAGUCCCCGUAACCUUUAAUAAUGUUGACAUGAUUCAUGGUAAUGGUGCUGUCUUCCAAUCCAAUUAUUUUAGUGAUUACUAGCACACGCUUGGCUCACCACAUACACUUCCUUAAGUUAUCAGGACACUAAUUGGUUAACAAGAUAUUGCAUUUUGCAGUCUUCUCCUUGGUCCUUGGGGAUUUCUCACCAUGCCAUCUGCUCAGAGCUAAUAGGAGAUAUAACGUUUCUGUAUCUCAGCAGCACACGGGCAUACGUUAACAUUACAGAUCCGAGAUGUUUCGAGUCAAAUGGAGUAAAGUCUGAUGCCUGAGUUUGUUUUUGUUUUUUUUAAUCAGAGCAAGAACUCACAUGUUUUAUGUACUUUGAGAGCUGUCCAGUGAAGAAUCAAUCUAGUGGAAACAUUAUUAUAGCAAUGUCAAACCACUAGGCCUUGUUUCAUGAUCUACGGGAGUAUUAAAUGUCUCCAUAAAACACAUCACGUAUCCUAAGCAGCAUGAUAUUUACAGCUUUUAGUGAGGUCUCAGGGCCUCAUAAAUUACAUUGAAAAGAACAUCCUGAAAUGAACAGGGUAUAUGAUUGCGCUUAGUCAACUAGUCCGUUUAUGCAUGGUUUAAAUCUCAGCUAAGCUCUGUCCUUGGUUAAGAGGAAUCAAGAUAACUUGCCAUGAUCAGAAACUACUUAAAAUGACCUUGCCAUUAAUGGAUGUUCAGGUUAUAACAGGGCUCUUGUGUGCAACUUGAAAUCUGUGCCUAUACUGACUGCAGAGAUUACGACCAUUUCAGUGGGAUUUCAUAAGAGCAGUGCACAUCCUUCAUGAGGAAUGGCCCAUAACAAGCUAUUAUCUCCUUCUCCUCUUGCUUUCACCAACAACCAGAAUGGAAUAUUACAAAUGGCUUGUGACAGGUGAGAUUCGCCACGGUGUUUACCACACUGAAUAUGUCAGCCUUUAACACAGUCUCUUGGCUUCCCUCAUAGCAAUGACAGCUUACUUGACAUUUACGCACUCCGAUUCCCGUCGGCUAAUAGCUACGCCUCAUCUCCCCAGGGUUCGGCAAGCAGGCCAACCGAUAACAAACCUGUCAGGACAGCUUCAGCAGGAAGAUAAAUUCUACGCCACGGUGCGCUAAAUGGAAGGCGCCACGGCAGCUGAUUAGGUCCUUAUCAGGGGUGCUUUGGCGCGAGCGUCUUUUUUCUCCCAUUUCACAUCUCUCCAAGGAGUCGACAUCAAAGGAGAUCACUGAGGUUGCUCUGGUUAGCCUGUCAGCUGUAUUUGAAGGAACGUGGUGGGAGGAUAGAAGCGGAG
ensembl:lncRNA